rnacentral:misc_RNA from 1 species
GAUGAAGAACGCAGCGAAACGCAAUAUGUAAUGUGAAUUGCAGAAUUCAGUGAAUCAUCGAAUCUUUGAACGCACAUGGCGCCUUCCAGUAUCCUGGGAGGCAUGCCUGUCCGAGCGUCGUUUCAACCCUCGAGCCCCCGUGGCCCGGCGUUGGGGAUCUGCCCAGGCAGUCCCCGAAAACCAGUGGCGGACCCGUUACAGGCCCUUCCCUUGCGUAGUAGCAUUCGCCUCGCAUCGGGAGCCGGCGGGCUUCCAGCCUCUAAACCCCAUCAAGUCCGCCCCGGCGGCACCAAGGUUGACCUCGGAUCAGGUAGGAAUACCCGCUGAACUUAAGCAUAUCAAUAAGCGGAGGA